GGUCCCAUAGCUCAGUUGGUUAGAGCGUCGUACUAAUAUUCUAGCACCGAUCUGGGUGUUGAAAUGUCUUUGGUAAAUGCGAAGGCCGUGAGUUCAAGCCUCACUGGGACCA